CUCUGUCUCUCUCUCAGGAUAUUUCACUCGAGUCCAUGGCGUCAGUCAGCUUAUAAAGGCAUUUCUACGGAAGACAGAAUGUCAUUGUCAAAUUCUAAAUCUUGGGGCUGGAAUGGAUACCACCUCUGGAGAUUAAAGGAUGAAGAUCUCCCAUGAAAAUAUUUUUGAGGUCGACUUUGCAGUGAUUGUCACGAGAAAGCUGCCCAGCAUCCAAGUCAAGCCUUUCUUAUCACAACCCAUUACAGAACUACAUUCGGGGGACCCACUUCAAAUCGGCAAGUACCCUUAACCUACGUGGUACGAUGUGCACUACAGAACGCUCUUUGCUUUUUUCCCCUUUUCCUUUUAAAAGGGGUGUGUGUGUGUCUGUGUGUCUGUCUGUCUGCGCCUGCGGGUGUGCACUUGCGCUGUCACGCGGAGUGUACUUCUGCUGAUACGUUUACACUACAUCGCAUUUACCANACAGAACGCUCUUUGCUUUUUUCCCCUUUUCCUUUUAAAAGGGGUGUGUGUGUGUCUGUGUGUCUGUCUGUCUGUCUGCGCCUGCGGGUGUGCACUUGCGCUGUCAUGCGGAGUGUACUUCUGCUGAUACGUUUACACUACAUCGCAUUUACCACGAAGGAAUUUAAAACAGAUGUCCAUAGGUCCCCGUUCUUCAGUCUUUAUAAAAUGGGUUUCAGUGAUUUACAACCAGUGCAAAAGUAGAUUUUUUCCUGAAAAUCUCUGUUUCCAGCUUUCCUUGUGAACAUCCAAUCUGGCAGCAUCAGACCCUAAGUCCUAGGUGGCUGCUUCAUGGAGGGGGGCUGUCAUCCUCCCGUCCCGCCCCCACUGCUCCCCGCUGUCUUGUACCUGAUCUGCUCCACCUGUUAUAUCACCUCCUCGGCCCCUGUGCUCCGGGUUUCCCCUCACGUUUUAAGUAUGAGUGUUUCCAGCAACUCCCUGCUCACCUCUAAGCCUUUCAGUCCAAGGUAAACCUCUUCCAGAAUGUUCCAUCGUUUUCAGUCUGUGUCUGGCAGAGUAUUCAGGGGGCUUACUAAUAAUUCAGGUCAGAGGACAUGCCCAGAGAGGAUGGCCUUCUGGGAUGGUGGACACAGAUAACACAGGAAACAUGAGACAGCGAGACAGGCCUCUGUGCAACCACAGUGCCACAGUCAUGCUCCUGGUGAAGAGACUCCCAGAAAGAACAUCUCCCCCAUCCUUCGUUUCCCUCCUACAGAUUAUAAGUAGAACCUGUGCAGGCUGUGCCAUGUGCUGGCCUGGCUGUUUUCUCCACACUGUCGCUAUCAUAACUUUCUGUAUAUUUGGUGAAUACUUGUGUCGGAAUGAUUACCUAUAAUGAAGGAGCUAACGCUUUG
rnacentral:lncRNA from 1 species